CUACGGGGUGCAGCAGUGAGGAAUAUUGCGCAAUGGGGGAAACCCUGACGCAGCGACGCCGCGUGGAUGAUGAAGGCCUUAGGGUCGUAAAAUCCUGUCAGGUGGGAAGAAGUGGAUAUAGAUUAAUACUCUAUUUCUUUGACGGUACCACCAAAGGAAGCACCGGCUAACUCCGUGCCAGCAGCCGCGGUAAUACGGAGGGUGCAAACGUUGUUCGGAAUUACUGGGCGUAAAGCGCGCGUAGGCGGUUUGUUAAGUCAGAUGUGAAAGUCCAUGGCUCAACUACGGAAGUGCAUUUGAAACUGGCAGACUUGAGUACUGGAGGGGGUGAGGGAAUUCCCGGUGUAGAGGUGAAAUUCGUAGAUAUCGGGAGGAAUACCGGUGGCGAAGGCGAUCACCUGGCCAGAUACUGACGCUGAGGUGCGAAAGCGUGGGGAGCAAACAGGAUUAGAUACCCUAGUAGUC
rnacentral:rRNA from 1 species